UAAAAACCCCCUCUUUUCUUCCAGAAUUACGGUUCUCCCCUUCUUGUGCGGAGGUAGGUGCCGCUCCACAGGGUGCGGUCACCGGUCGGCGUCCUCCCGGCGCAGAGGCGGGUAGGUAGGGUGAGCUUCGGCACGAGGCCUACCGUAUAUUCUACCCACCAUCCCCCCUGUGAGCCGCAUUAAAUAGAGUUCCGUCUCCCUCGGCCUUGUGAGCUUUGUAAGACAACCCUCCUGAUCCGUCUCUGCCCUCGGAAAUCCCACUUCGGGCGAGCUCUCCGGCGCAGCGGUGGUGUUCCGGGACUGUCUUCGUCAUCGGCCCGUGCCCGUGAAGCGGCUUCACAAGUCUGUGGCGCUGCUUCUUCCAUCUUUCCCUCAGCAUCUCCUUUGCGAGGGCUCCUCGUUUAGGCCGGCCAACACUCUAACCUGUGAGAUUCUCGUCUGUUUACAGUGGGAUCCGAGGUGGUCAUGGUGGAUGAGAUCGCGUUCCCUUCCGUGAAUGAAGACCCCAAGCCGCUCGCACUCUUGGGUUACGGUAAGAGCUCUCGCUCUCUCUCACUCUCACUUACGCUUACUCUCACUCUGUCUCUCUGUCUCUGUCUGUCUGUCUGUCUGUCUGUCUGUCUGUCUGUCUGUCUGUCUGUCUNNNNNNNNNNNNNNNNNNNNAGAGAGAGAGAGAGGAGGAGCGCCAGUGACCGGAAUAAAUCGACGUUGUGCCCAUCUCUUAUGAUCCAUUUGGCUUAAUUCCGAAUUCUCGGCAAUCCAAACGUCUCUACAUCACGAAUUUCUCUACAGUCCGUUUGGGGCGUGGCCCUGGCCCAGGUCCAGUUCAACAACGCCGCCGCCCGCUAACAUAUUCAUAUAUGUAUAUAUAUCGGUAGGUUUAUGUGUGGAUAUGUAAAAUUCGGUUGGAGAAGAGAAGGAUAAAAAACGGCGACGAAUAACAGGGCAGAGGGGUGAAUCUUCCGCCGUCA
rnacentral:lncRNA from 1 species